UACAGAGGUCCCAAGCGUUGUUCGGAUUCACUGGGCGUAAAGGGUGCGUAGGCGGCGGGGUAAGUUUGAUGUGAAAGCUCCGAGCUUAACUCGGAAAUUGCAUUGAAUACUAUCCUGCUAGAGGGUUGAAGGGGGGACUGGAAUUCUCGGUGUAGCAGUGAAAUGCGUAGAUAUCGGGAAGAACACCCGUGGCGAAGGCGGUUCUCUGGGACGGUACUGACGCUGAGACGCGAAAGCGUGGGGAGCGAACAGG
rnacentral:rRNA from 1 species